rnacentral:misc_RNA from 1 species
AAGUCGUAACAAGGUUUCCGUAGGUGAACCUGCGGAAGGAUCAUUACAGAGUUCAUGCCCCUCGGGGUAGACCUCCCACCCUGUGUAUACCUUACCUUUGUUGCUUUGGCGGGCCGCCAUUUGGCCAUCGGCUCCGGUCGGUGCGCGCCCGCCAGAGAACCCAAACUCUGUUUUUAUCAUGUUGUCUGAGCACUAUUUAAUAGUUAAAACUUUCAACAACGGAUCUCUUGGUUCUG